rnacentral:rRNA from 1 species
GUCCACGCCGUAAACGAUGGAUACUAGCUGUUGGGAGCAAUUUCAGUGGCUAAGCGAAAGUGAUAAGUAUCCCACCUGGGGAGUACGAACGCAAGUUUGAAACUCAAAGGAAUUGACGGGGCCCGCACAAGCGGUGGAGCAUGUGGUUUAAUUCGAUGAUACGCGAGGAACCUUACCAAGGCUUAAAAUGUAGAUUGACAGGUUUGAAAACAGACUUUUCUUCGGACAAUUUACAAGGUGCUGCAUGGUUGUCGU